GCCCCGGUAAACGGCGGCCGUAACUAUAACGGUCCUAAGGUAGCGAAAUUCCUUGUCGGGUAAGUUCCGACCUGCACGAAUGGCGUAAUGAUGGCCAGGCUGUCUCCACCCGAGACUCAGUGAAAUUGAACUCGCUGUGAAGAUGCAGUGUACCCGCGGCAAGACGGAAAGACCCCGUGAACCUUUACUAUAGCUUGACACUGAACAUUGAGCCUUGAUGUGUAGGAUAGGUGGGAGGCUUUGAAGUGUGGACGCCAGUCUGCAUGGAGCCGGCCUUGAAAUACCACCCUUUAAUGUUUGAUGUUCUAACGUGGACCCGUGAUCCGGGUUGCGGACAGUGUCUGGUGGGUAGUUUGACUGGGGCGGUCUCCUCCUAAAGAGUAACGGAGGAGCACGAAGGUUGGCUAAUCCUGGUCGGACAUCAGGAGGUUAGUGCAAUGGCAUAAGCCAGCUUGACUGCGAGCGUGACGGCGCGAGCAGGUGCGAAAGCAGGUCAUAGUGAUCCGGUGGUUCUGAAUGGAAGGGCCAUCGCUCAACGGAUAAAAGGUACUCCGGGGAUAACAGGCUGAUACCGCCCAAGAGUUCAUAUCGACGGCGGUGUUUGGCACCUCGAUGUCGGCUCAUCACAUCCUGGGGCUGAAGUAGGUCCCAAGGGUAUGGCUGUUCGCCAUUUAAAGUGGUACGCGAGCUGGGUUUAGAACGUCGUGAGACAGUUCGGUCCCUAUCUGCCGUGGGCGCUGGAGAACUGAGGGGGGCUGCUCCUAGUACGAGAGGACCGGAGUGGACGCAUCACUGGUGUUCGGGUUGUCAUGCCAAUGGCACUGCCCGGUAGCUAAAUGCGGAAGAGAUAAGUGCUGAAAGCAUCUAAGCACGAAACUUGCCCCGA
rnacentral:rRNA from 2 species